rnacentral:rRNA from 1 species
GCAGUAGCCGCGGUAAUACGUAGGGUGCAAGCGUUAAUCGGAAUUACUGGGCGUAAAGCGUGCGCAGGCGGUUCGGAAAGAAAGGUGUGAAAUCCCAGGGCUUAACCUUGGAACUGCACUUUUAACUACCGGGCUAGAGUGUGUCAGAGGGGGGUGGAAUUCCGCGUGUAGCAGUGAAAUGCGUAGAGAUGCGGAGGAACACCGAUGGCGAAGGCAGCCCCCUGGGAUAACACUGACGCUCAUGCACGAAAGCGUGGGGAGCAAACAGGAUUAGAGACCCGCGUAGUCCCUGUCUCUUAUAC